rnacentral:rRNA from 1 species
GAUUAGUGGCGAACGGGUGAGUAACACGUGGGCAAUCUGCCCUGCACUCUGGGACAAGCCCUGGAAACGGGGUCUAAUACCGGAUACUGAUCCUCGCAGGCAUCUGCGAGGUUCGAAAGCUCCGGCGGUGCAGGAUGAGCCCGCGGCCUAUCAGCUUGUUGGUGAGGUAACGGCUCACCAAGGCGACGACGGGUAGCCGGCCUGAGAGGGCGACCGGCCACACUGGGACUGAGACACGGCCCAGACUCCUACGGGAGGCAGCAGUGGGGAAUAUUGCACAAUGGGCGAAAGCCUGAUGCAGCGACGCCGCGUGAGGGAUGACGGCCUUCGGGUUGUAAACCUCUUUCAGCAGGGAAGAAGCGAAAGUGACGGUACCUGCAGAAGAAGCGCCGGCUAACUACGUGCCAGCAGCCGCGGUAAUACGUAGGGCGCAAGCGUUGUCCGGAAUUAUUGGGCGUAAAGAGCUCGUAGGCGGCUUGUCACGUCGGUUGUGAAAGCCCGGGGCUUAACCCCGGGUCUGCAGUCGAUACGGGCAGGCUAGAGUUCGGUAGGGGAGAUCGGAAUUCCUGGUGUAGCGGUGAAAUGCGCAGAUAUCAGGAGGAACACCGGUGGCGAAGGCGGAUCUCUGGGCCGAUACUGACGCUGAGGAGCGAAAGCGUGGGGAGCGAACAGGAUUAGAUACCCUGGUAGUCCACGCCGUAAACGGUGGGCACUAGGUGUGGGCAACAUUCCACGUUGUCCGUGCCGCAGCUAACGCAUU